UAGCUCAGAUGGUAAAGUGUCUGCCUGCAAUGCAGAAGACCAGGGUUCGAUCCCUA
rnacentral:tRNA from 1 species